CUGCUCCCUCACCGCCACUGCUAGUUAGAACUUAGAGCUUCGCCUCCGCCUCCCUCUCUCUCUCACACACACGACGGCUCCUCGUCCCUCACCGCCACUCCUCCCUCGCCGGCGAUCCUCCUUCACCGUCGAUUUCAAAGGAUUUAUUCCAGCUGCACCAUUACUACUCUUCCAUGAUCCAUUAUUGAUGCUGCUGUGUUUCAAUUUGAUGCUACUGUGUUUGAAUUUUGAAGCUGCUGUUUGAAUUUUGAUGUUGCUGUUUGAAUUUGAUCCAUUUUGAUGCUGUGUUUGAAUUUGAUCCAUUUUGAUAGAUUUAUUGAUGCUGCUGUGUUUGAAUUUGAUGUUUAUAGAAUUUUUUGAAUUGGAAAAUAUGUUGAAAAAUAUAUUUCAAUAGGAUUAGAAUGUUUACAGAUUUUUACAG